rnacentral:rRNA from 1 species
UACGUAGGGCGCAAGCGUUGUCCGGAAUUAUUGGGCGUAAAGAGCUCGUAGGCGGUUUGUCGCGUCUGCUGUGAAAACUCGAGGCUCAACCUCGGGCUUGCAGUGGGGUACGGGCAGACUAGAGUGCGGUAGGGGAGACUGGAAUUCCUGGGUGAUAGCGGUGGAAUGCGCAGAUAUCAGGAGGAACACCGAUGGCGAAGGCAGGU